AACAGGGAUUCCCCUAGUAACGGCGAGUGAAGCGGGAACAGCUCAAAUUUGAAAUCUGGCCCUUGGGUCCGAGUUGUAAUUUGUAGAGGAUGCUUUUGGUGCGGUGCCUUCCGAGUUCCCUGGAACGGGACGCCUUAGAGGGUGAGAGCCCCGUACGGUUGGACGCCUAGCCUCUGUAAAGCUCCUUCGACGAGUCGAGUAGUUUGGGAAUGCUGCUCUAAAUGGGAGGUAUAUUUCUUCUAAAGCUAAAUACUGGCCAGAGACCGAUAGCGCACAAGUAGAGUGAUCGAAAGAUGAAAAGCACUUUGAAAAGAGGGUUAAAUAGCACGUGAAAUUGUUGAAAGGGAAGCGUUUAUGACCAGACUUUUUCUAGGGGGAUCAUCCGGUGUUCUCACCGGUGCACUUCCCCUAGUUGAGGCCAGCAUCGGUUUCCGGAGGGGGAUAAAAGCUUCGGGAAUGUGACUCCCUCGGGAGUGUUAUAGCCCGUUGCAUAAUACCCUUCUGGGGACCGAGGUUCGCGCAUCUGCAAGGAUGCUGGCAUAAUGGUCAUCAACGACCCGUCUUGAAACACGGACCAAGGAGUCGAACAUUUAUGCGAGUGUUUGGGUGUUAAACCCUCACGCGUAAUGAAAGUGAACGGAGGUGAGAGCCCUUACGGGUGCAUCAUCGACCGAUCCUGAUGUCUUCGGAUGGAUUUGAGUAAGAGCAUAACUGUUCGGACCCGAAAGAUGGUGAACUAUGCGUGGAUAGGGUGAAGCCAGGAGAAAUCCUGGUGGAGGCUCGCAGCGGUUCUGACGUGCAAAUCGAUCGUCAAAUCUGCGCAUGGGGGCGAAAGACUAAUCGA
rnacentral:rRNA from 1 species